GUCGACGUACUUCAUAGGAUCAUUUCUAUAGGAAUCGUCACUCUUUGACUCUUCAAAAGAGCCACUGAAUCCAACUUGGUUGAUGAGUCCCAUAACCUUUGUACCCCAGAGUGAGAAACCGAAAUUGAAUCUAAAUUAGCUUGGUCCGCAAUCCUUAGCGGUUCGGCCAUCUAUAAUUUUGAAUAAAAAUUUUGCUUUGCCGUUGCAUUUGUAGUUUUUUCCUUUGGAAGUAAUUACAAUAUUUUAUGGCGCGAUGAUCUUGACCCAUCCUAUGUACUUCUUUUUUGAAGGGAUAGGGCUCUAUGGGUGGGUACAAAUGGCAGUCUGACAAGUUAA
rnacentral:snoRNA from 1 species